AGCACCGCGCACACAGAAGACCCGAUUGUUAACGAACCUCUCGAACGCUGUAAUGAACGUCCUCUCGCAUCUAUAGAGCUAAACUGAAGCUUUCAAACGGGUCGAACAGGAUCAUUACGGCAUUAUGAACUUUUAACGCCGGACACCUAGAAUCUGUCAGGAGAUUAAGGUACAGGCCAGCAGCUGCCAGCUUGGCGGGAGGAGCAUUUCCUGGCCUGAAUGCGAACCGACUGCAGCUGGAGCAUGUCCACUGCAGGCUUGACUGCUCAGGAGAUCUGUUUACCCGCGCAAAGCCUAUUCCUGCGGGGCAGCCAUUGGCAUAGCAUGGCCGGAGCUAAGCCCUCUUGGAAAUACCAUGAUCUACACAACUUAUACUUCACCAUUGAUUCUUCUAUGGAUUAUAACCUUCAGUCCCGGCAACAGGUGCUGCCAUCAUUCUCAAGAGCGGACAGUAAGUAACAUAGCAACAUAAAUCUCCUCAUUAUGAAACGUUCACUCCAAUUUACUCACCCUCAUUUCAUUCCAAACCUGGUGUAAUUUUUUUUUUUUUCAACGGGAGGAUUUUAAAGCAUCUUUCUUUACAUUUGGUGACAAUUCAGAGUGACCAUGGACAAAAGCACCAAACAGCA